rnacentral:rRNA from 1 species
UACAGAGGUCCCAAGCGUUGUUCGGAUUCACUGGGCGUAAAGGGUGCGUAGGUGGUCGGGUAAGUCUGAUGUGAAAGCUCUGGGCUCAACCCAGAAAUGGCAUUGGAUACUAUCCGGCUAGAGGAGUGGAGGGGGGACUGGAAUACUUGGUGUAGCAGUGAAAUGCGUAGAUAUCAAGUGGAACACCAGUGGCGAAGGCGAGUCCCUGGACACUUCCUGACACUGAGGCACGAAAGCUAGGGGAGCAAACAGG